CUGGCUCAGGAUGAACGCUAGCGGCAGGCUAACACAUGCAAGUCGAGGGGCAUCGGGAGUAGCAAUACUGCCGGCGACCGGCGCAAGGGUGCGUAACGCGUGAGCAACAUGCCCGUAUCAGGGGGAUAAUCCAUGGAAACGUGGUCUAAUACCCCAUAGUAAUUAUGUAAGGCAUCUUAUAUAAUUUAAAGCUUUGGUGGAUACGGAUUGGCUCGCGUGACAUUAGCUGGAUGGUAAGGUAACGGCUUACCAUGGCUACGAUGUCUAGGGGUUCUGAGAGGAAGGUCCCCCCACACUGGAACUGAGACACGGUCCAGACUCCUACGGGAGGCAGCAGUGAGGAAUAUUGGACAAUGGAUGGAAAUCUGAUCCAGCCAUGCCGCGUGCAAGGAAGACGGCCCUAUGGGUUGUAAACUGCUUUUGUAUGGGAGCAAUAAGGGCUACGUGUAGUCCGAUGAGAGUACCAUACGAAUAAGCACCGGCUAACUCCGUGCCAGCCGCCGC
rnacentral:rRNA from 1 species